ACGGGAGGCAGCAGUGGGGAAUAUUGCACAAUGGGGGAAACCCUGAUGCAGCGACGCCGCGUGAGUGAAGAAGUUAUUCGUAAUGUAAAGCUCUAUCAGCAGGGUAGAAAAUGACGGUACCUGACUAAGAAGCCCCGGCUAACUACGUGCCAGCAGCCGCGGUAAUACGUAGGGGGCAAGCGUUAUCCGGAUUUACUGGGUGUAAAGGGAGCGUAGACGGCUUAGCAAGUCUGAUGUGAAAGGCAGGGGCUCAACUCCUGGACUGCAUUGGAAACUGUUAAGCUAGAGUGCCGGAGAGGUAAGCGGAAUUCCUAGUGUAGCGGUGAAAUGCGUAGAUAUUAGGAGGAACACCAGUGGCGAAGGCGGCUUGCUGGACUGUUACUGACACUGAGGCACGAAAGCGUGGGGAGCAAACAGGAUUAGAUACCCUGGUA
rnacentral:rRNA from 1 species